GAUGAACGCUGGCGGCGUGCCUAAUACAUGCAAGUCGAGCGAACAGACGAGGAGCUUGCUCCUCUUACGUUAGCGGCGGACGGGUGAGUAACACGUGGAUAACCUACCUAUAAGACUGGGAUAACUUCGGGAAACCGGAGCUAAUACCGGAUAAUAUAUUGAACCGCAUGGUUCAAUAGUGAAAGACGGUUUUGCUGUCACUUAUAGAUGGAUCCGCGCCGCAUUAGCUAGUUGGUAAGGUAACGGCUUACCAAGGCAACGAUGCGUAGUCGACCUGAGAGGGUGAUCGGCCACACUGGAACUGAGACACGGUCCAGACUCCUACGGGAGGCAGCAGUAGGGAAUCUUCCGCAAUGGGCGAAAGCCUGACGGAGCAACGCCGCGUGAGUGAUGAAGGUCUUCGGAUCGUAAAACUCUGUUAUUAGGGAAGAACAAAUGUGUAAGUAACUAUGCACGUCUUGACGGUACCUAAUCAGAAAGCCACGGCUAACUACGUG
rnacentral:rRNA from 1 species